rnacentral:rRNA from 1 species
AGAGUUUGAUCCUGGCUCAGGAUGAACGCUGGCGGCGUGCUUAACACAUGCAAGUCGAGCGAAGCGAUUUAGCGGAAGUUUUCGGAUGGAAGUUAGAUUGACUGAGCGGCGGACGGGUGAGUAACGCGUGGGUAACCUGCCUCAUACAGGGGGAUAACAGUUAGAAAUGACUGCUAAUACCGCAUAAGCGCACGGGAACGCAUGUUUUUGUGUGAAAAGCCGAGACGGUAUGAGAUGGACCCGCGUCUGAUUAGCUAGUUGGUGAGGUAACGGCCCACCAAGGCGACGAUCAGUAGCCGACCUGAGAGGGUGACCGGCCACAUUGGGACUGAGACACGGCCCAAACUCCUACGGGAGGCAGCAGUGGGGAAUAUUGCACAAUGGGGGAAACCCUGAUGCAGCGACGCCGCGUGAGUGAAGAAGUAUUUCGGUAUGUAAAGCUCUAUCAGCAGGGAAGAAGAAAGACGGUACCUGACUAAGAAGCCCCGGCUAACUACGUGCCAGCAGCCGCGGU